CCAAAGGCUCUUUUCAGAGCCAAUGACCUUUUCUAUGAGAUAGUG
rfam:Felis catus isolate Cinnamon breed Abyssinian chromosome B2, whole genome shotgun sequence.